UACGUAGGGUGCGAGCGUUGUCCGGAAUUAUUGGGCGUAAAGGGUGCGUAGGUGGCGUCGUAAGUCGGGUGUGAAAUCUCGGGGCUUAACUCCGAAAAUGCAUUCGAUACUGCGGUGCUUGAGGACUGGAGAGGAGACUGGAAUUUACGGUGUAGCAGUGAAAUGCGUAGAGAUCGUAAGGAAGACCAGUGGCGAAGGCGGGUCUCUGGACAGUUCCUGACACUGAGGCACGAAGGCCAGGGGAGCAAACGGG
rnacentral:rRNA from 1 species